rnacentral:rRNA from 1 species
UGGGUGAUCUGCCCUGCACUCUGGGAUAAGCCUGGGAAACUGGGUCUAAUACCGGAUAGGACCAUGCUUUAGUGUGUGUGGUGGAAAGUUUUUUCGGUGUAGGAUGAGCCCGCGGCCUAUCAGCUUGUUGGUGGGGUAAUGGCCUACCAAGGCGGCGACGGGUAGCCGGACUGAGAGGUUGGUCGGCCACAUUGGGACUGAGAUACGGCCCAG